rnacentral:rRNA from 1 species
GAGAAAAGAUAAAUUUCCUUAAGACACCAGAUCCCAUCUGCUCUUGAAAGCUAAGCAGGGUUAGACCUGGUUAGGACUUGUAUGGGAGACCACCAACAAAGGUCAGGUGCUGUAGGCU